rnacentral:rRNA from 1 species
UACAGGGGGUGCUAGCGUUGUUCGGAAUUACUGGGCGUAAAGGGCGCGUAGGCGGUUACGCAAGUCAGAAGUGAAAUCCCGGAGCUUAACUCCGGAAUUGCUCCUGAUACUGCGUGGCUAGAGUGAGUUAGAGGAUGGCGGAAUUCUUAGUGUAGAGGUGAAAUUCGUAGAUAUUAAGAAGAACACCGGUGGCGAAGGCGGCCAUCUGGGACUCAACUGACGCUGAGGCGCGAAAGCGUGGGGAUCAAACAGG